rnacentral:rRNA from 1 species
UACGAAGGGGGCUAGCGUUGUUCGGAAUUACUGGGCGUAAAGCGUGCGCAGGCGGCUUCUCAAGUCAGGGGUGAAAGCCCAGAGCUCAACUCUGGAAUUGCCUUUGAGACUGAGUGGCUUGAGUACGAGAGAGGUGAGUGGAAUUCCCAGUGUAGAGGUGAAAUUCGUAGAUAUUGGGAAGAACACCGGUGGCGAAGGCGGCGACCUGGUCCUUUACUGACGCUGAGGCGCGAAAGCGUGGGGAGCAAACAGG